GACGAACGCUGGCGGCGUGCCUAAUACAUGCAAGUUGAGCGCUGAAGGUUGGUACUUGUACCAACUGGAUGAGCAGCGAACGGGUGAGUAACGCGUGGGGAAUCUGCCUUUGAGCGGGGGACAACAUUUGGAAACGAAUGCUAAUACCGCAUAAAAACUUUAAACACAAGUUUUAAGUUUGAAAGAUGCAAUUGCAUCACUCAAAGAUGAUCCCGCGUUGUAUUAGCUAGUUGGUGAGGUAAAGGCUCACCAAGGCGAUGAUACAUAGCCGACCUGAGAGGGUGAUCGGCCACAUUGGGACUGAGACACGGCCCAAACUCCUACGGGAGGCAGCAGUAGGGAAUCUUCGGCAAGGGACGAAAGUCUGACCGAGCAACGCCGCGUGAGUGAAGAAGGUUUUCGGAUCGUAAAACUCUGUUGGUAGAGAAGAACGUUGGUGAGAGUGGAAAGCUCAUCAAGUGACGGUAACUACCCAGAAAGGGACGGCUAACUACGUA
rnacentral:rRNA from 1 species